rnacentral:lncRNA from 1 species
UGACCAUUACAGCUUUAUCUCUCCUCGACUAUGAAUGGACACACCCCAAACACGGUUUUCUCCCCCAGGCAUAUUCUGAAAGACUGCACCGUCUUUGGAGAGUUGGGAUGGAAGCACAGCUGUCCUUUCCUCGACACAUUCCGUUCAGGUGGCCGUGGUUUUCCCAGGGGGUACUCGAGGCCACCGAAUGACGCAAGGGAGGAUUCCCCAGGUGGAGCCUGGAGACGAGGACCCUGAUGCACGUGAUUUUUGUAUGAGAGCUCCAAGGGGACGUGUGGCGAGGGGACCACCCAAGGGAGGAGGCUGAACAUGGAGGCGAUAUGAAGCCCAAUCCUGUGGAGUCCUGAGGACAGGGCCAGGUGCGCACCCAUCCCAGUCAUCCUGCUCAGGGGGAAGGGGGCGAAGAGUUUGCUCUCCUGUAUCUAGCUAAGGGCUGCCGUUGGAGGUUGCAAAUUCCCAGGCCUUCCCUGCAAGCAGGCAAAGUGGGCUCCGGCAUCUGAGGGUGGCCCCCAGCAGAGGUGGCAGUGCCAGCUGUGGGGAGUGAAAGCAUCGGGAAGUGGUCAUCAAAGGAGAUGCUGGGGGACAGUCACCAUGUCCCAGCCAUGUGACAGCCUCAGCCUCUUUGUCACUCAUAUGUCUCUUCAAGUCUCCAGAAGUUUCUCAUUUGUUUCUGGAUAUGAAUAAACACUACCUCAAGUUAUACACUGAUGAGGAAAUGGCUGAUGCAAAGUCGUAGCCGCUUCCAUUUGACUCUGCUAUCUUGUCAUUACGGGAUAAUUCAAGGUGGCUCUUGAAGGAGAGAGGGUUUUCUCUCUCCUUCUUUGAGGAAAUUCAUCCAGUGGGGAUGCACCACCUCUGGCUCUGGUUCCAGUGAGGGGCUUGGGACAUUUGUGCCGACACUUGACCCCUCUCCGCGUGGUUCUCCCUUAACGCGCGUCCUCUGCCCAUGCUGUCUCCCUUCUCUCUCCUCUCUUAGGUUGUCUCCGGAGGAUUUUUGUCUUCUGCCCUGCUCACCUCUCUGCUUUCAUUUCGCACUGCUGUUCCUCUAGUAGUCUCUUCU